rnacentral:siRNA from 1 species
AACUGUUUCUCUGAGAUUGUUUGC